rnacentral:rRNA from 1 species
CACGUAGGGUGCGAGCGUUGUCCGGAAUUAUUGGGCGUAAAGAGCUCGUAGGCGGUGUGUCGCGUCGGCCGUGAAAACCUGCAGCUUAACUGUGGGCGUGCGGUCGAUACGGGCAUCACUGGAGUUCGGCAGGGGGAGACUGGAAUUCCUGGUGUAGCGGUGAAAUGCGCAGAUAUCAGGAGGAACACCGGUGGCGAAGGCGGGUCUCUGGGCCGAUACUGACGCUGAGGAGCGAAAGCGUGGGGGAGCGAACAGG